rnacentral:sRNA from 1 species
GCGGCAACAGCUCAAAUUUGAAAUCUGGUCCCCUUUGGGGGCCCGAGUUGUAAUUUGAAGAGGAUGCUUUUGGCGAGGCGCCGUCCGAGUUCCCUGGAACGGGACGCCGCAGAGGGUGAGAGCCCCGUACGGUCGGACGCCGAGCCUCUGUAAAGCUCCUUCGACGAGUCGAGUAGUUUGGGAAUGCUGCUCAAAAUGGGAGGUAAACCCCUUCUAAAGCUAAAUACCGGCCAGAGACCGAUAGCGCACAAGUAGAGUGAUCGAAAGAUGAAAAGCACUUUGAAAAGAGAGUUAAAAAGCACGUGAAAUUGUUAAAAGGGAAGCGCUUGCGACCAGACUUGCGCCCGUCGGAUCAACCGUCGCUUGCGGCGGCGCACUCCGGCGGGCUCAGGCCAGCAUCAGUUCGCUCGGGGGGAGAAAGGCGGCGGG